GAGCGAUUUGGUUGCUCCUCCCCGUGCAGUUCGCCUUCACCACCGCUCACUCGACUGCCGCUCCUCCUCCAAUCUCCCUUCCCCAGCGACUAUCCCAAGAUGUUGUUGUCUCCUCCCUUCCUCUCUUAUCUCCACAGUCGGUGAGUUCCCCUGUCCCUUCUUGCCACUCCAUCCUACUCCCUCUAGCACUGGCGCAGAGCUCCUAACAGCAUGUGCUUUGAAAAAGCUUGAGAUGCAGCUCGCCGACGUGUGCUCGAUGCCACCCGUUCCUGGCAGUGUCCACAAAGCCGUUCUGUUUGCACGGGAAAGCGGUUCUGCAACUCGUCCCUGCAGUUCCUGGUCGUGGAUCCAUUUUCUUAACCUUUUUUAAUGUGAUGUAUCGGCGUAUUUUGCAUCAAAGUUUACUGCUCGGGGGUGCACUUCAGUCCGAUGGAGGGGCACGUGCAGCUCUGUUAUUUUAUUUUUGACCUGUUGUGCUUUGUUUGUUUUUGUGUAAAAAGAAGUCACGCUCGGGCCGCACUGCAGUCCGAUGGCGGGGCGCGUUCAGUGCUCUGUUGCUUCAGUGGGAGAAAAGGGAGUCCUAGUGUCGCCUCUAAACUCUUUUGGUGAUGCGGUUAUGUCCACCUACACGCACAACCCAAAAAAAGUGUCGAGUGGACUAUACGGUUGGUUGUUCCUGGGUUCAAUUCACUAAUGUGAGUGUGGCUGUGUAAAUGAAUGGAUAUGUAUGUGUUUGAAGCUCACUUUGUCCUCUCAUGCAAUUCACUAUAAAACUCCCUUGUGGUUCACUUGGUAAUCCGAAACAAAAACACCUCGGAAAGCAGCUCACUUCUCAUUACAUGUGGUUCACUUGCUC
rnacentral:lncRNA from 1 species